GAUGAACGCUGGCGGCGUGCUUAAUACAUGCAAGUCGAACGAAGCUUUAGGAAGCUUGCUUUUUAAAGCUUAGUGGCGAACGGGUGAGUAAUACAUAAGCAACCUGCCUACAUGCUUGGGAUAACUAUUAGAAAUGAUAGCUAAUACCAAAUAGUUAAAAUAAAGGCAUCUUUAUUUUAUUAAAGUUGCACUAUGCAACACUUGUAGAUGGGCUUAUGCUGUAUUAGCUAGUUGGUAGGGUAAAUGCCUACCAAGGCGAUGAUACAUAGCCGGCCUGAGAGGGUGAACGGCCACAUUGGGACUGAGACACGGCCCAGACUCCUACGGGAGGCAGCAGCAAGGAAUUUUCGGCAAUGGGCGAAAGCCUGACCGAGCAACGCCGCGUGAGUGAUGAAGGCCUUUGGGUUGUAAAGCUCUGUGGUAAAGGAAGAAUGUAUAGAAAAGGAAAUGUUUCUAUAUUGACGGUACUUUACUAGAAAGUCACGGCUUACUACGUGCCAGCAGCCGCGGUAAUACGUAGGUGGCAAGCGUUAUCCGGAAUUAUUGGGCGUAAAGGGUGCGCAGGCGGUUUAU
rnacentral:rRNA from 1 species